AUUGAACGCUGGCGGCAUGCCUUACACAUGCAAGUCGAACGGCAGCGCGGGAGCAAUCCUGGCGGCGAGUGGCGAACGGGUGAGUAAUAUAUCGGAACGUGCCCAGUAGUGGGGGAUAGCCCGGCGAAAGCCGGAUUAAUACCGCAUACGACCUACGGGUGAAAGGGGGGGAUCGCAAGACCUCUCGCUAUUGGAGCGGCCGAUAUCAGAUUAGGGAGUUGGUGGGGUAAAGGCCUACCAAGCCUGCGAUCUGUAGUUGGUCUGAGAGGACGACCAGCCACACUGGGACUGAGACACGGCCCAGACUCCUACGGGAGGCAGCAGUGGGGAAUUUUGGACAAUGGGCGCAAGCCUGAUCCAGCAAUGCCGCGUGCAGGAAGAAGACCUUCGGGUUGUAAACUGCUUUUGUCAGGGAAGAAAUCCUCUGGGUUAAUACCUCGGGGGGAUGACGGUACCUGAAGAAUAAGCACCGGCUAACUACGUGCCAGCCGCCGCGGUAA
rnacentral:rRNA from 1 species